UCCGGUAUAGUGUAAUGGCUAACACAUCUCGUUCUCAACGAGGAGCUCGGGGUUCGAUUCCCUGUACCGGAA
rnacentral:tRNA from 1 species